rnacentral:tRNA from 1 species
UCCCUGGUGGUUCAGCGGCUAACACUCUGUUCUCAAUGCAGGAGGCCCAAGUUCGAUUCCUGGUCAGGGAA